AAAUUUUUGGCGGGCCAGCAAGGCGCCAGGCGCCAUGAAAAAAAUCCAUCACACGUGCACCACACGCGCGCCGCACCCGCGAUUCCCCAUCCACCCACACCACCGCACGCUGCCUCCCACACCCCGCGAUUCCCACACCCCGCGCCGCCGUCCUCCUCCUGCGCCGCCGUCCUCCUCCUGCUGACCCCGCCACCGCCGGAGCCCGACCUCGACGAGCCCGACCCCGACGCCUCCCCUCCUCCGACGAGCCCGACCCCGAUGCCUACCCUCCUCCGACGAGCCCGACCACGAUGCCUCCUGCAGAUCCGCGCCGACUCCACACGCCGCCGUCCUCCUCUACUUCUCCAUCGACUCCUCCUCCGGCCGGCCGGCUUCCGCUGUCGGCUCCUCCCUCUUCCCCAAUGCCUUCCCAUCGCUGCAGUUGAGUCCACCCUCUUCCCCACCUCCUCCGCCGCCUCCCCAACCUCCAGGUUUAGAGGGAGAGCAGAAAGAAUUAAGAAAAACAAUAUAGCACUACAAGCUAUAAUUCAAAAGAGAAGGGAGUUGGCUAAAUCAAGCGAGGGAAAUCUCGGGUCUGCUUCUACUCAUCAGGAAACAAGAAAGAGGAAGAGAGUCGAUUGCGCUGGAAGUGAACCAGCUAGACAUGAAUCUGGGUUGCCAAAUCUGUCUAGAUCAACAAGGAGGGGAACAGGGAGUAGUACAAGUACACACGAUGAAGAUGAAGAACUUGUUGCUAAUACAAAUCAUCUAUUCAUGCACGAUUGCGAAAGAAAUGAUGAGCUUGCAGAAAAUGGAGCGCUACAAGCUGUCAUUGAAAAGAAAAAGGAGUUGGCUAACUUAAGCGAGGAAAAUCUUGGGUCUGCCUCUACUCAUCAGGAAACAAGAAAGAGGAAGGUUAGAAAUUCUAACAUGUCAAUUGCAUGA
rnacentral:lncRNA from 1 species